rnacentral:lncRNA from 1 species
AUGAAGAAAAGGGGAGAAAAGAAAGAAAGAAAGAAAGAAAGAAAGAAAGAAAGAAAGAAAGAAAGAAAGAAAGAAAGAAAGAAAGAAAGAAAGAAAGAAAGAAAGAAAGAAAGAAAGAAAGAAAGAAAGAAAGAAAGAAAGAAAGAAAGAAGGAAGGAAGGAAGGAAGGAAGGAAGGAAGGAAGGAAGGAAGGAAGGAAGGAAGGAAGGAAGGAAGGAAGGAAGGAAGGAAGGAAGGAAGGAAGGAAGGAAGGAAGGAAGAAAGGAAGAAAGAAAGGAAGAAAGAAAGAAAGAAAGAAAGAAAGAAAGAAAGAAAGAAAGAAAGAAAGAAAGAAAGAAAGAAAGAAAGAAAGAAAGAAAGAAAGAAAGAAAGAAAGAAAGAAAGAAAGAAAGAAAGAAAGAAAGAAAGAAAGAAAGAAAGAAAGAAAGAAAGAAAGAAAGAAAGAAAGAAAGAAAGAAAGAAAAUGAUCUGCUUUGGGGAGAGCCAAGACAAAGUAUUUUUACACCUCAGGCAAGAUUUGAAAACAAUGCUUCAUUAAUAAAUAUGAGCAAACAAUUACUAAUUAUUUACCACAUAACUGUCCAUUUACCACAUAAACUGAAGGUUUAGAACUUUCACUGAAAUGUGUGCCAUUUUAUUUGUUUAAAAAAAAGUACCUACAAGUCAUGGAGAGCAGCAUUUUCUAUCAUUACAUGUGAUACAUAUCAAACAUGUGAAUUUAUUUUAAACAAUAUUUUUAAAACUGUCACUUGCCUCACCUCCUCUACAUGCUGUAUCCUAGGUGAUUGCUACAUUUCCUAACCCCACUCCUACCUCUAAACAUCCUCAACACUUUCAAGAAGUAGAUUACAAUACACUUUAAAUUGCUUGUUCAGCUUGAUGAUGACUAUAUUGUUUUUUUUUUUGUUUUGGUUUUGUUUUGGUUUUAAACCCUUACCUUCUGUCUUGGAGUCAAUACUGUGUAUUGACUCCAAGGCAGAAGAGUGGUAAGGGCUAGGCAAUGGGGGUCAAGUGACUUGCCCAGGGUCACCCAGCUGGGCAGUGUCUGAGGUCAGAUUUGAACCUAGGACCUCCUGUCUCUAGAUCUGGCUCUCAAUCCACUGAACUACCCAGCUGCCCCCAGGCUAUAUUGUUUUUUAUAUCAUCCACAGGUACUAACUUAAGUUUCUUGUUUAAUUCCUAAGAAUUCUUUAAUGCCCAACACAAGGGUAACUCAUUCUAUGAAGCCUUCCUUGAUCCCCACCCACCAAAUCAAUAAUUUCCUUUUCUCGUCAUGCUUCAUAUAAUUAUAUUUCAAUUCUCUAAAAGUCAUAAUAUAAUAAUAUCAUGUACUUCAUUUUCUGUAUUGAUGUCUUAUCCCCCUUCUAACUUAUGAGCUCUAUAAUGUCAGAUACCAUAUCUUAUAUAAACUUUGUAUCUCCCCCAUUUCCUAGCACCAUGUUUUCCUUAAAGCCACCUAAUAAAGUCUGAGUCAAUAAAUAAAGCA